CCAACGAACAACAACCCAUCUGUCAUCGCCGCUAAUUACCUGUCAUGUGUGCGAUCUCUUGGGCUGGUCCCAAUGAGACUGCGGACUGAUUGCGGAACAGAGAACGGCACCAUGCCAACAAUUCAGUCCACCCUACGUCACCAGCACACUGACCACUUCGCUGGUGCGUCCAGCCAUAUGUACAGUAUGGCACAUCCACUAGCAAUCAACGAAUUGAGUCAUGGUGGUCCAUAUUUAGAAGGUCAAGAUCUCAAUUCUGGAUGGAAUUAUUUGCAGACCUGAGAGACUCUGGACACUUCAGUGGUAGUCACGAAGACCAAUGUGUCCUCAGGUUUUGCUUUAAUUAAGUUGUUCAGAGGGACCUUGACGAAUGUGUGGAACUAUGGAACACUCACAGGAUUCGCCCCUCUCGAACUGCUUCUUGUCCUGGAGGAGUUCCCAAUGAGUUGUUUCACCUACCACACAGAUUUGGCUCCAGAGACUGUGGCUUUGGGGUUGACCUGGAAAAACUGGAUGCAUUUCCAGAAGCAAAUCCAUCUCUGCCUCCAUGUGGUGAUGCAAACAUUCAGGAGUACUUGGAAUAUGUAAUGGAGCACUUCCAAUUACAGCGGCCAGGGAACUGGGAGUCUGCAUCAGAACUAUAUCUACGGCUCAAAGAAAUUGGACAGCUGUAAUUGCACAGCUGAGUAUUUUGAGUAUACACAGUAAAAAUCAAUUAAACAUAAAUGUUUACAAAUCCA